rnacentral:rRNA from 1 species
AUACACUUUCUUAAAAACCAAUACAUUAAUGACGGCUUUACUUUUAAUUAGAGGAACUUGUUUAGUAAUCGAUAUUCCUCGAUAAAUUUCUCUCAAAAAAUAGUUUGUAUACCGCCGUCAAAGGAUAUUUUUAUAAAAAUACUCGAAAAUAAAUAAAACAAUUCAGGUCAAGGUGCAGCCAACUUUUUAGAAUAAAUGAGUUACAUAUAAUAAAAAAUUAAGAAUAAAAAAUAAAAUUUUAUUUUGAAAAAGGAUUUAAUUUCAUUUUACAAUUAAUACUUGUUCAAGAACUAAAAAAUUAAAGUGUACACAUCGCCCCGUCGCUC